CGCAUGUCCGUGACGUCAUCACCGGGCGCCCGCUCUCUCCGCCAUGGCCGCCGCAGCAGCAGGCUCCUGUUCCGAGGAUCCAGAGGAAUUCAGGAAGCCACCGGGAAGAAGGAAGUGGAUUCAAGGCACCUAGCACCGUAAUGAGCCCGGUUUUGGUUAAUUAAGGCUACCAAGGCCUCAGCGCCUCGUCUGCCAGGGCUGAAAUUCCAUGGGAAUGCCGUGACCGAGACAUGGAGCUCCGUCCUGGCAGGAGUUACCUGCUGACACCGCUGCCCAGGCUCCCUCCGUGGUGGUGCAGAGGGAUCAGGAGGCCCCCAGAAGGAGGAGGCGGGCGCCAGGCUGUUGCACUGUAAUUAACGCAGCUCUGUU